AAACUAAAUUGCGCUUUUGAGACUUGAAGUGUCGGAGGUGUCCAAUAGAUGACAUAGGUGUUUUUGUUUAUCUUGUGAUGGCAGAUUGUUGAAUGGUUGUCAAAAGUUUUCCCAUAUUUUCCCAUUUUUACCGAUGAAUUCAUAAGAAGGAACGCGGAAGGCAACUAGCCAAGUACAAGUAGCCUACCAUCAAUUCUUUCAUUAAAAUCGUCGUUCUGCUGAAUGCUCCACCCUAUUAAUACAGGUCUUUUUAUACCCCAGUGUGGACACUUGUUGUUUUUUCCAACAUGUUUCUACAAAGAAAGCUAUGGGAAAUUGGGAACAUAAUCAAGGCCAUGGGUAAUCUUCAUCAGGCAACUUAAAUAAUUCACAUAAAGAUGCAGGGCGCAUACCAACAUGUGUUGUAUUUUCCUGAAUGUUUUUUACUCAAGCAGUAGAUUCAACAUGCAUAACUGUUUGAUGCCAAAGUUAGUUGGAACUCUAACUCAAACACAGAUAAUUGUUACUGCUGCCUUUCAGCCACAGGCAGGAAAACGAUUGUUUUCUUCACAAAAUUGGAAAGCUGCUGGAGUAAUCUAGUGUCCAUCCCCACUUGAUUCAUUUCGUAGCUAGUGAAAGACUGAAAGGCGUGACGAAUUCAAAUUUAGCUGCUGCGUGCUGUCUGCAAGCAAGCAAUCCAAUUGGCUGUCGCUAGGUGGCGCUAGUCAAUCUUCAGGGACUAAAUUCGGCCAUUUUGAUCCUUGACGCAGCAGAAGUGAGGUGUCGGUCGUGACGUUUCCAAAAAUGAAAAGGUGAUUUCAAUACCAAUUUGUUAAAUCAUCUAACUCGGAUUUGAGUGCCUGUUCAUUUUGCCGAAAUGUCGUGCCUCGUGUGUCUUGCUGCCUGUACCCGUACGUCUCGUCCCAUGCAAAAGCAAAAGUAAUUAUUUUUAUUCAAUUUCCUACUACAGUACUUUGUUUAUAUGACUAGAGAUCAAUUUGCAAUUUGAAUACCUUGCCAAUUCUAACUUCCUUUGUAAAAUUUGAGAUAUCAGAGAGAUCUGUUGGACUGCGGAGUUUUGUCUUACUCCUUGUAUUCUUUUAUCCGAUUGGCGGAGAUAUAGGACCGGUCGAAAUAGGCCCCGACGAAAUAGGCCCGGCAAAUAGGACCGGACGAAAUAGGACCCUACGAAAUAGGCCCACUUUUAAAAUAUUUUUAAAGCGGUCCUAUUUCUCCGUCAAAGUGGGCCUAUUUCUCCCAAUUAUUUCUAAGUUCCAUAAGGUACUCUGAAAUAUUUAAAAAAUAAAUUCGACCUACUCUACAUGAGCGAGAAGGCGGAAUUAUCUGCGAGAGAUCCGCCACCGUAUAUAUUCAUUGCCGUAGCUCAAACCACGAUGAUUGAUUUCACACAUUGCCGUUUCGUUUUUCACAUGUUAGGCAGCUGAUUCCCGUCUUUAUUUUUUGAUGAACGUAUUCCCCUUUAUCUUAACUGUAAAAUUCAUUUUUUACAAACGUCGUUUUCACUUAUUAACUAUCGCUAAUUUAAAAAAAUGAACAAAUUUCCGUGUUUUCUUCGCCAUUUAUUUGUUCCGUAGCUCGAUCCCCCCUUCAGCGGCUCAGCCUUGAACGCGUCUCUCCCCUUUCAGCGGCUCAGCCUUGAACGCGUCUCCCCCCUCUACCUAUGCCAGUACUCAGGUGAAGUAGGAAAUGAACAUGUUUGAUGAAAUAAAUCUUACGGAUUGAUUUCAAACAUAUCCAUAACAAUUUAAUGUUUUUUUUUUUAAGCAACAAACGCAUAUCACUUUUAAGUUUCUUGUUUUAUGGGGCUGACGCGAGGUGCUGCUCAAGCCGGCCAGAAGGGUGGUCGAGCGGGGGAGGCUGCACGCACUCAUGGGAGAGGGGUGAGUGAAGGGGGGUUUACCUGGGCCAUACCAUACACGCCCAUGUUUUCCCUUCUCCGUAUAUGUUAAAGGAUGGAAUAGUGGUUAGCAACUCGGGCUAUGAAUCUCAAGCGCCGGUGUUCGAAUCUCGGCCAUGUCGAUAAAGAUUUGUAUUUACAAAAUAUUUUAGAAAAUUAAUAGCUCAACAGCAUAAAGCGGUGUGGAACUAUCCUGGCGAAAUUGAUGGUUUUUUCUUUUUUUAAUUGAUUUAAUAUACAGCACGAAAAGGAAAUUUCUAUUAUAGUUGAAUACCAAAUGUGGUUUUGAAGAUUUCCAUCUAUCGGUGAUAGUAGCGUCACUAGCGUGGUUCAAUAGCGUCAUGAAGAUGGCGUCAUCUGCUCAUCGUCAACUUCAGCGUUUAAUUUACAAAUAAGAAAUAGAAAUCUUAUAAAAAAAUUAAAAUAGCUUCAAGAUGUGUACAUUUUAUUUUUAAUCAUUUUAAAAUUUGAAUUGCAAUUUUCGUUACAUUUGAUCUGUAAGAAUUCGAUUCUGAAUCAUUCUCAUUUCAAAUCGAUUCACACACAUAGCAGACGCUAACACAUCAAGCGUCAUCAAUAGCGUGGUCUAUGGUGCAAUGCUAUCACUGGAGUAAGGCGUUUAUCUUCUAUUCGGGUAGCGUCAUGAUUGGCCUACCCUGAUGGCGUCAUGAUCGCUGCUGAUUGCCUUUCAAAUAGGUUUUCAGCAUUCUGCUUACACCUUUGGCAUAGAGUCACAUAUUUCACAAUCCAACAUCAAUUGGUACCAACAGCAGCCCUUCUCUCCAUCAUCCAGAAGGGUCUGAGAUCAGUGUUGGAGAUGAUGGUUCGGAACAACCCAUGGAAAGCUUAUCACUCAUUGAUGCUGUGAUGCCUGAUGUUGUUGCAAGUCGUCAACAGCAAACCCAGAACAAACAGAAACCACAAGUGGUAAAGACAGAACCACCAAAUUCCAAUGGAGAUGAACCCAUGCAUUCCAAUCGCUGGGAAGAGGAAACAGAAGUAGAGAUACCUGCCAGCAAAUCUACUGUACUUCGUGGCCAUGAAUCUGAAGUUUUCAUCUGUCUGCGCCUGAACCCAACAACAUUCAGAAGGGUGGAACUGAAGUUCCGAGCAACAAAGAUGUCACCUCACUUGACUGGUAUUUGCUGGGAUAACUGAACAGAAGUUUUAAAGAAAGACAGAAACAAUUGACAAGACCCAUCUCUUCUAGAUUUCACCGUCCAACUGGCUUCUGUAAAAGAAGCGAGCAGGCUGAGUCUUGAGACACUGGCAACAGAAGUUUGAGAAUGGAAAUCACAGAUUGAUGACCUUCAGAAGGAAUUGUUAGUUGCAGAUCCCGAUCUUAUCGAUUUUAUGAAAGGAUUUCUAGUUGAAGCAAAGGAGAAAGUGUUGGCAAUGCAGAAUGCAUUCAUGGAACAAUUAAUCAUUUAAUUCAACAAUUCCAACGUAAUACGAAGGAAAUCUGAUUUAUGGCUUAUUUAAUAGCUUAGCUUAUCGUCGUUAGUAACUUGCAUCGUAACGAAUUAAUUUUUUGGUAGCUUCUUGAUUGUUUAAACAAAGUACAAGGUUACAAUCAAUGCAUUAUAGUAGCUUUGUAUAAUGUACAAUCCACUUAAUGGCCACUUAAUGAGAUGGAAUAUUGGAAUGUUAAACUUUAUUGAAGUGAGAAAAAUUUAAUUUGAACAAAGUGAGGCUGACUGGAAACAAACUAAGAUGAAUAAUU